rnacentral:rRNA from 1 species
GAUCUAGCUUGCUAGAUUGAUGGCGAGUGGCGAACGGGUGAGUAAUACAUCGGAACGUGCCCUGUAGUGGGGGAUAACUAGUCGAAAGAUUAGCUAAUACCGCAUACGACCUGAGGGUGAAAGUGGGGGACCGCAAGGCCUCAUGCUAUAGGAGCGGCCGAUGUCUGAUUAGCUAGUUGGUGAGGUAAAGGCUCACCAAGGCGACGAUCAGUAGCUGGUCUGAGAGGACGAUCAGCCACACUGGGACUGAGACACGGCCCAGACUCCUACGGGAGGCAGCAGUGGGGAAUUUUGGACAAUGGGCGAAAGCCUGAUCCAGCAAUGCCGCGUGUGUGAAGAAGGCCUUCGGGUUGUAAAGCACUUUUGUCCGGAAAGAAAUGGCUCUGGUUAAUACCUGGGGUCGAUGACGGUACCGGAAGAAUAAGGACCGGCUAACUACGUGCCAGCAGCCGCGGUAAUACGUAGGGUCCAAGCGUUAAUCGGAAUUACUGGGCGUAAAGCGUGCGCAGGCGGUUGUGCAAGACCGAUGUGAAAUCCCCGAGCUUAACUUGGGAAUUGCAUUGGUGACUGCACGGCUAGAGUGUGUCA